UACGAAGGGGGCUAGCGUUGCUCGGAAUUACUGGGCGUAAAGGGCGCGUAGGCGGACAGUUUAGUCAGAGGUGAAAGCCCAGGGCGUCAACCUUGGAACUUGACCUUUGAUCAUCUGGCUGUCUUGAGUUCGGGAGAGGUGAGUGGAAUGCCGAGUGUAGAGGUGAAAUUCGUAGAUAUUCGGCGGAACACCAGUGGCGAAGGCGACUCACUGGCCCGAUACUGACGCUGAGGCGCGAAAGCGUGGGGAGCAAACAGG
rnacentral:rRNA from 1 species